GACAGUGUGAGGGAGGGGGUGACUAGUGACAGAGUUAGGGAGGGGGUGACUAGUGACAGAGGAAGGGAUGGAGUGACUAGUGACAGUCACCACCUCCCUCACUCUGUCACUGUGUUACCCCCUCCCUCUGUCACUAGUCACCCCCUCCCUCAUUCUGUCACUAGUCCCUCCCUUACUAGUCAUCC